CUAAGGCCCUCAACGGGGCAUUCGAAGUUCUGCGAUUUUGGGUUUCUCCCAAACUUUCUGAGCACUUUUUGGCCACCACGAGCUGAACCACCACCACCACCAUACUUCUUGCUUCUUGGGCUUCAAAACCCACUAAAGAAUCAGACUCAAUGGUCACUGGAGUUGGAAGUCAAUGCUCGUCAGAAUCCAUGGAUGUUGUGGACGUCCAUGACAGUUUAGCUGCUGGAGCUGAACAUGGUGAUGCUUCCAGAAAGGAAAGGUCCCCAGUUCAAGAUGUAGAACAGCACACAACAUAAGUGAUAGAAGAGUCUACAGCAACGUCUGAAACUAGAACUGAUGUUGGUGGCAAGGUGUCUGUUAAAGAAGUCAUAGAUACAGUAUGUUUCCAUGCCCCAACUCUAUUUAUAGGAGAUGUAUUAUGAGAUUAUUUAAUUACGAAAUUUCAGCUUGUUGAAAUUACGAUGAAUUUGGGAGAGAAGUUGAAGACUUUGUUGAAAACUAAUAAUGUUAAUA